rnacentral:rRNA from 1 species
GAGUUUGAUCCUGGCUCAGAACGAACGCUGGCGGCGUGCCUAACACAUGCAAGUCGAACGUGAUCCAGAGCUUGCUCUGGUGAAAGUGGCGCACGGGUGAGUAACGCGUGGAUAACCUACCCUGGUAUCCGGGAUAACAUUCCGAAAGGGGUGCUAAUACCGGAUAAGCCCACGGGCUCUUUGGAGCUUGCGGGAAAAGGUGGCCUCUAUUUAUAAGCUACUGUAUCAGGAUGGGUCCGCGUACCAUUAGCUAGUUGGCGGUGUAACGGACCACCAAGGCGACGAUGGUUAGCUGGUCUGAGAGGAUGAUCAGCCACACUGGAACUGAGACACGGUCCAGACUCCUACGGGAGGCAGCAGUGGGGAAUUUUGCGCAAUGGGGGAAACCCUGACGCAGCAACGCCGCGUGAGUGAUGAAGGCCUUUGGGUCGUAAAGCUCUGUCAGAGGGGAAGAAAUGAUAUAGUGCUAAUACCACUUUAUCUUGACGGUACCCCCAAAGGAAGCACCGGCUAACUCCGUGCCAGCAGCCGCGGUAAUAC